CACGUAGUGCGCAAGCGUUGUCCGGAAUUAUUGGGCGUAAAGAGCUCGUAGGCGGCUUUGCAAGUCGGGUGUGAAAGCCCUCGGCUUAACCGAGGAAGUGCGCCCGAAACUGCAGAGCUUGAGUACCGGAGAGGAUGGCGGAAUUCCCCAAGUAGAGGUGAAAUUCGUAGAUAUGGGGAGGAACACCGGUGGCGAAGGCGGCCACCUGGACGGUAACUGACGCUGAGACGCGAAAGCGUGGGUAGCAAACAGG
rnacentral:rRNA from 1 species